rnacentral:rRNA from 1 species
CUGACACAGGUGCUGCAUGGCUGUCGUCGGCUCGUGUCGUGAGAUGUUGGGUUAAGUCCCGUAACGAGCGCAACCCUUGUCCUUAGUUACCAGCACGUUAUGGUGGGCACUCUAAGGAGACUGCCGGUGACAAACCGGAGGAAGGUGGGGAUGACGUCAAGUCAUCAUGGCCCUUACGGCCUGGGCUACACACGUGCUACAAUGGUCGGUACAAAGGGUUGCCAAGCCGCGAGGUGGAGCUAAUCCCAUAAAACCGAUCGUAGUCCGGAUCGCAGUCUGCAACUCGACUGCGUGAAGUCGGAAUCGCUAGUAAUCGUGAAUCAGAAUGUCACGGUGAAUACGUUCCCGGGCCUU